UACGGGGGGGGCAAGCGUUGUUCGGAAUUACUGGGCGUAAAGGGCUCGUAGGCGGCCAACUAAGUCCGACGUGAAAUCCCAAGGCUUAACCUUGGAACUGCGUCGGAUACUGGAUGGCUUGAAUUCGGGAGAGGGAUGCAGAAUUCCAGGUGUAGCGGUGAAAUGCGUAGAUAUCAGGAGGAACACCUGUGGUGUAGACAGCUUACUGGACCACGACUGACGCUGAGACACGAAAGCGUGGGUAGCAAACAGG
rnacentral:rRNA from 1 species